GACGAACGCUGGCGGCGUGCUUAACACAUGCAAGUCGAACGGAAAGGCCCUGCUUGCAGGGUACUCGAGUGGCGAACGGGUGAGUAACACGUGGGUGAUCUGCCCUGCACUUCGGGAUAAGCCUGGGAAACUGGGUCUAAUACCGGAUAGGAGCCAUUUUUAGUGUGAUGGUUGGAAAGUUUUUUCGGUGUAGGAUGAGCUCGCGGCCUAUCAGCUUGUUGGUGGGGUAAUGGCCUACCAAGGCGGCGACGGGUAGCCGGCCUGGGAGGGUGGACGGCCACAUUGGGACUGAGAUACGGCCCAGACUCCUACGGGAGGCAGCAGUGGGGAAUAUUGCACAAUGGGCGCAAGCCUGAUGCAGCGCCGCCGCGUGGGGGAUGACGGCCUUCGGGUUGUAAACUCCUUUCGCUAGGGACGAAGCUUUUUGUGACGGUACCUAGAUAAGAAGCACCGGCUAACUACGUG
rnacentral:rRNA from 1 species